rnacentral:lncRNA from 1 species
UCUAAUUCGAGGAAUUACUUUAAUUCCUUAGUGGGUACUAGAAUCCAUACAGACUACACAUGAGCCCAACUUUGGUUGGUCAACCCAUGUGCAUCUAUGGAUAGCUUCAUAACCAGUUGUUUCUCUAAACAACUUCUAGUAAUUUAUUUUGCUCCAGAACCUAAUCAGUAGGCUUUGGCCUCCACUGAAAAGAUCUGGUUAGGUCCAACCAUUAACAUGACUUGAUUU